rnacentral:rRNA from 1 species
UACGAGGGGCCCAAACGUUAUUCGGAUUUACUGGGCUUAAAGAGUUCGUAGGCGGCGCAGAAAGUAGGGUGUGAAAGCCCUCGGCCUAACCGAGGAAUUGCGCUCUAAACUACUGUGCUUGAGGAAUCUAGAGGUGAGCGGAACUGAUGGUGGAGCGGUGAAAUGCGUUGAUAUCAUCAGGAACACCGGAGGCGAAGGCGGCUCACUGGGGAUUUUCUGACGCUGAGAAACGAAAGCCAGGGGAGCAAACGGG